rnacentral:rRNA from 1 species
CAGUCGCCACGGUAAUACGAAGGGUGCAAGCGUUAAUCGGAAUUACUGGGCGUAAAGCGUGCGUAGGCGGUGAGUUAAGUCUGCUGUGAAAUCCCCGGGCUCAACCGUGGAGGAGCGUGGGAUACGCUCAGGCUAGAGGGUGGGAGAGGGUGGUGGAAUUCCCGGAGUAGCGGUGAAAUGCGCAGAUACCGGGAGGAACGCCGAUGGCGAAGGCAGCCACCUGGUCCACUUCUGACGCUGAGGCGCGAAAGCGUGGGGAGCAAACCGGAUUAGAGACCCGGUAGUCCCUGUCUCUUAUACA